UACGUAGGGGGCAAGCGUUGUCCGGAAUCAUUGGGCGUAAAGCGCGUGUAGGCGGCUCGAUAAGUCUGCUGUGAAAGUCCAAGGCUCAACCUUGGGAUGCCGGUGGAUACUGUCGAGCUCGAGUCCGGAAGAGGAGUGUGGAAUUGCCGUGGUGUAGCGGUGAAAUGCGCAGAUAUCGAGGAGGAACACCAAUGGCGAAGGCAGCACUCUGGGACGUGACUGACGCUGAGACGCGAAAGCGUGGGAGCAAACAGGAU
rnacentral:rRNA from 1 species